rnacentral:rRNA from 1 species
UAGAGUUUGAUCCUGGCUCAGAGCGAACGCUGGCGGCAGGCUUAACACAUGCAAGUCGAGCGGGCAUAGCAAUAUGUCAGCGGCAGACGGGUGAGUAACGCGUGGGAACGUACCUUUUGGUUCGGAACAACUGAGGGAAACUUCAGCUAAUACCGGAUAAGCCCUUACGGGGAAAGAUUUAUCGCCGAAAGAUCGGCCCGCGUCUGAUUAGCUAGUUGGUGAGGUAAUGGCUCACCAAGGCGACGAUCAGUAGCUGGUCUGAGAGGAUGAUCAGCCACAUUGGGACUGAGACACGGCCCAAACUCCUACGGGAGGCAGCAGUGGGGAAUAUUGGACAAUGGGCGCAAGCCUGAUCCAGCCAUGCCGCGUGAGUGAUGAAGGCCCUAGGGUUGUAAAGCUCUUUUGUGCGGGAAGAUAAUGACGGUACCGCAAGAAUAAGCCCCGGCUAACUUCGUGCCAGCAGCCGCGGUAAUACGAAGGGGGCUAGCGUUGCUCGGAAUUACUGGGC